UACGGGGGGGGCAAGCGUUGUUCGGAAUCACUGGGCGUAAAGCGCACGUAGGCGGAUUGUUAAGUUGGGGGUGAAAUCCUGGAGCUCAACUCCAGAACUGCCUUUGAUACUGAGGAUCUUGAGUUCGGGAGAGGUGAGUGGAACUGCGAGUGUAGAGGUGAAAUUCGUAGAUAUUCGCAAGAACACCAGUGGCGAAGGCGGCUCACUGGCCCGAUACUGACGCUGAGGCACGAAAGCGUGGGGAGCAAACAGG
rnacentral:rRNA from 1 species